rnacentral:rRNA from 1 species
UAGGGAAUCUUCCACAAUGGACGCAAGUCUGAUGGAGCAACGCCGCGUGAGUGAAGAAGGCUUUCGGGUCGUAAAACUCUGUUAUUGAAGAAGAACGUGCGUGACAGUAACUGGUCAUGCAGUGACGGUAUUCAAUCAGAAAGUCACGGCUAACUACGUGCCAGCAGCCGCGGUAAUACGUAGGUGGCAAGCGUUGUCCGGAUUUAUUGGGCGUAAAGCGAGUGCAGGCGGUCUUUUAAGUCUGUGUGAAAGCCUUCGGCUUAACCGAAGAAGGGCAUCGGAAACUGGGAGACUUGAGUGCAGAAGAGGAGAGUGGAACUCCAUGUGUAGCGGUGAAAUGCGUAGAUAUAUGGAAGAACACCAGUGGCGAAGGCGGCUCUCUGGUCUGUAACUGACGCUGAGGCUCGAAAGCGUGGGUAGCAAACAGGAUUAGAUACCCUG